rnacentral:rRNA from 1 species
GACGAACGCUGGCGGCGUGCUUAACACAUGCAAGUCGAACGGAAAGGCCCUGCUUUUGUGGGGUGCUCGAGUGGCGAACGGGUGAGUAACACGUGAGUAACCUGCCCUUGACUUUGGGAUAACUUCAGGAAACUGGGGCUAAUACCGGAUAGGAGCUCCUGCUGCAUGGUGGGGGUUGGAAAGUUUCGGCGGUUGGGGAUGGACUCGCGGCUUAUCAGCUUGUUGGUGGGGUAGUGGCUUACCCAGGCUUUGACGGGUAGCCGGCCUGAGAGGUUGACCGGCCACCUUGGGACUGCGAUACGGACCAGACUCCUACGGGAGGCAGCAGUGGGGAAUAUUGCACAAUGGGCGGAAGCCUGAGGCAGCAACGCCGCGUGCGGGAUGACGGCCUUCGGGUUGUAAACCGCUUUCGCCUGUGACGAAGCGUGAGUGACGGUAAUAGGUGAAGAAGCACCGGCUAACUACGUG